UAUACACUCCCUCCGUCCCAAAAUUCUUGUCUUAGAUUUGUCUAAAUAUGGAUGUAUCUAGUUACAUUUUAGUGUAAGAUACAUACGUAUCUAGACAAAUGCAAGACCAGAAUUUUGGGCGGAGGGAGUAUUAC
rfam:Triticum aestivum genome assembly, contig: Triticum_aestivum_CS42_TGACv1_scaffold_604704_7DL